GAUCAGGAUGAACGCUAGCUACAGGCUUAACACAUGCAAGUCGAGGGGCAGCAUUUCAGUUUGCUUGCAAACUGGAGAUGGCGACCGGCGCACGGGUGAGUAACACGUAUCCAACCUGCCGAUAACUCGGGGAUAGCCUUUCGAAAGAAAGAUUAAUACCCGAUGGUAUAAUCAGACCGCAUGGUCUUGUUAUUAAAGAAUUUCGGUUAUCGAUGGGGAUGCGUUCCAUUAGGCAGUUGGUGAGGUAACGGCUCACCAAACCUUCGAUGGAUAGGGGUUCUGAGAGGAAGGUCCCCCACAUUGGAACUGAGACACGGUCCAAACUCCUACGGGAGGCAGCAGUGAGGAAUAUUGGUCAAUGGGCGCAGGCCUGAACCAGCCAAGUAGCGUGAAGGAUGACUGCCCUAUGGGUUGUAAACUUCUUUUAUAUGGGAAUAAAGUUUUCCACGUGUGGAAUUUUGUAUGUACCAUAUGAAUAAGGAUCGGCUAACUCCGUGCCAGCAGCCGCGGUAAUACGGAGGAUCCGAGCGUUAUCCGGAUUUAUUGGGUUUAAAGGGAGCGUAGGUGGACAGUUAAGUCAGUUGUGAAAGUUUGCGGCUCAACCGUAAAAUUGCAGUUGAUACUGGCUGUCUUGAGUACAGUAGAGGUGGGCGGAAUUCGUGGUGUAGCGGUGAAAUGCUUAGAUAUCACGAAGAACUCCGAUUGCGAAGGCAGCUCACUGGACUGCAACUGACACUGAUGCUCGAAAGUGUGGGUAUCAAACAGGAUUAGAUACCCUGGUAGUCCACACAGUAAACGAUGAAUACUCGCUGUUUGCGAUAUACAGUAAGCGGCCAAGCGAAAGCAUUAAGUAUUCCACCUGGGGAGUACGCCGGCAACGGUGAAACUCAAAGGAAUUGACGGGGGCCCGCACAAGCGGAGGAACAUGUGGUUUAAUUCGAUGAUACGCGAGGAACCUUACCCGGGCUUAAAUUGCAUUUGAAUAUAUUGGAAACAGUAUAGCCGUAAGGCAAAUGUGAAGGUGCUGCAUGGUUGUCGUCAGCUCGUGCCGUGAGGUGUCGGCUUAAGUGCCAUAACGAGCGCAACCCUUAUCUUUAGUUACUAACAGGUCAUGCUGAGGACUCUAGAGAGACUGCCGUCGUAAGAUGUGAGGAAGGUGGGGAUGACGUCAAAUCAGCACGGCCCUUACGUCCGGGGCUACACACGUGUUACAAUGGGGGGUACAGAAGGCAGCUACCUGGUGACAGGAUGCUAAUCCCAAAAGCCUCUCUCAGUUCGGAUCGAAGUCUGCAACCCGACUUCGUGAAGCUGGAUUCGCUAGUAAUCGCGCAUCAGCCAUGGCGCGGUGAAUACGUUCCCGGGCCUUGUACACACCGCCCGUCAAGCCAUGAAAGCCGGGGGUACCUGAAGUACGUAACCGCAAGGAGCGUCCUAGGGUAAAACUGGUAAUUGGGGCUAA
rnacentral:rRNA from 1 species